rnacentral:rRNA from 1 species
UGGGGAAUCUUGGACAAUGGGGGCAACCCUGAUCCAGCGACGCCGCGUGGGUGGUAAGGCCUUCGGGUUGUAAAGCUCUUUCAGUCGUGACGAUGAUGACGGUAGCGACAGAAGAUGCCCCGGCUAACUCCGUGCCAGCAGCCGCGGUAAUACGGAGGGGGCAAGCGUUGUUCGGAUUUACUGGGCGUAAAGGGCGCGUAGGCGGGGUAUCCAGUUAGGGGUGAAAGCCCGGGGCUCAACCUCGGAACUGCCUUUAAAACUGAUGCUCUAGAGUCCGGAAGAGGGUCGCGGAAUUCCCAGUGUAGAGGUGAAAUUCGUAGAUAUUGGGAAGAACACCGGUGGCGAAGGCGGCGACCUGGUCCGGUACUGACGCUGAGGCGCGAAAGCGUGGGGAGCAAACAGGAUUAGAUACCCGCGUAGUCC